GGCGCGGUGGCGGAACUGGCAUACGCGUAGGUCUCAAAAACCUAUGGAGAUAAAACUCUGUGAGGGUUCGACCCCCUCCCGCGCCA
rnacentral:tRNA from 1 species